rnacentral:lncRNA from 1 species
AUAUUUAAGAAACUGUUUGAAGAAGGUUUAAACAUUCAAAAGCAAAGAUUACGAGACCUAAGAAACUAUGCCAAAGAAAAGCGAGAUGAACAAAGGAGACGCCACCAGGAUGAACUGGACUCCAUGGAGAACUACUAUAAGGACCAGUUUUCAUUGCUGGCAGAAGCCAUAUCACAGGAACAUCAAGAACUUAAAGCCAGAGAGAAAUCUCAGGCCCAGGUACUACCAACUGAGCAGUCACCACGGCCGGAGAAAACGGGCACCUUCCCUGCUCUGCGAGGAGACAGAAAGCUGAGCUCUGCAACAUGACAGAGGCAUCAACUCAGGAUGGCAUGUGUUCUUGAACUUUUCAUUUUGUGACUCAUGUUGUCACCCUCCAUAGAGCCAACCAUAAAUGUUUUCAAAACGAUUCAUUACAAACUCAAUAUUCUUUAAAAACGUUGAUGCUGUGACAGUGCAAACAGCAUUGAUUUUAUUGCUCGACUUCGGCAUGGGCACAUACAUAGUUAAUUUUUAAAAACCAUUUAUACAGAUGUUACUGAUAAAGCUCAUGUAACAAAUGAAUGAAAAUACAAAGAAUAUCAAAGCUAAAACACUCUGUAAUAAA